rnacentral:misc_RNA from 1 species
UUAAGUUCAGCGGGUAGUCUCACCCGAUUUGAGGUCAAGGUUUGUGGGUCAAGUGGCAAUCACUUGACCAUUGUCUUCUAUGAGACAGUUAGAAGCAGGAACAGUGCGAAACCCAAGACGUAGAAAACAUCUUAUCACGUCAAGGAUCAGCAAAGCAGACCCCACUAAUUCUUUUCAGAGGAGCUGGCUCCAUCAAAGGA